UACGUAGGGUGCAAGCGUUGUUCGGAAUUACUGGGCGUAAAGGGCUCGUAGGCGGCCAACUAAGUCAUACGUGAAAUCCCUCAGCUUAACUGGGGAACUGCGUGUGAUACUGGAUGGCUUGGAUUUGGGAGAGGGAUGCGGAAUUCCAGGUGUAGCGGUGAAAUGCGUAGAUAUCUGGAGGAACACCGGUGGCGAAGGCGGCAUCCUGGACCAAUAUUGACGCUGAGGAGCGAAAGCCAGGGGAGCAAACGGGG
rnacentral:rRNA from 1 species